rnacentral:rRNA from 1 species
UUAAGCGACUAAGCGUACACGGUGGAUGCCCUGGCAGUCAGAGGCGAUGAAGGACGUGCUAAUCUGCGAUAAGCGUCGGUAAGGUGAUAUGAACCGUUAUAACCGGCGAUUUCCGAAUGGGGAAACCCAGUGUGUUUCGACACACUAUCAUUAACUGAAUCCAUAGGUUAAUGAGGCGAACCGGGGGAACUGAAACAUCUAAGUACCCCGAGGAAAAGAAAUCAACCGAGAUUCCCCCAGUAGCGGCGAGCGAACGGGGAGGAGCCCAGAGCCUGAAUCAGUGUGUGUGUUAGUGGAAGCGUCUGGAAAGGCGCGCGAUACAGGGUGACAGCCCCGUACACAAAAAUGCACAUGCUGUGAGCUCGAUGAGUAGGGCGGGACACGUGGUAUCCUGUCUGAAUAUGGGGGGACCAUCCUCCAAGGCUAAAUACUCCUGACUGACCGAUAGUGAACCAGUACCGUGAGGGAAAGGCGAAAAGAACCCCGGCGAGGGGAGUGAAAAAGAACCUGAAACCGUGUACGUACAAGCAGUGGGAGCACGCUUAGGCGUGUGACUGCGUACCUUUUGUAUAAUGGGUCAGCGACUUAUAUUCUGUAGCAAGGUUAACCGAAUAGGGGAGCCGAAGGGAAACCGAGUCUUAACUGGGCGUUAAGUUGCAGGGUAUAGACCCGAAACCCGGUGAUCUAGCCAUGGGCAGGUUGAAGGUUGGGUAACACUAACUGGAGGACCGAACCGACUAAUGUUGAAAAAUUAGCGGAUGACUUGUGGCUGGGGGUGAAAGGCCAAUCAAACCGGGAGAUAGCUGGUUCUCCCCGAAAGCUAUUUAGGUAGCGCCUCGUGAAUUCAUCUCCGGGGGUAGAGCACUGUUUCGGCAAGGGGGUCAUCCCGACUUACCAACCCGAUGCAAACUGCGAAUACCGGAGAAUGUUAUCACGGGAGACACACGGCGGGUGCUAACGUCCGUCGUGAAGAGGGAAACAACCCAGACCGCCAGCUAAGGUCCCAAAGUCAUGGUUAAGUGGGAAACGAUGUGGGAAGGCCCAGACAGCCAGGAUGUUGGCUUAGAAGCAGCCAUCAUUUAAAGAAAGCGUAAUAGCUCACUGGUCGAGUCGGCCUGCGCGGAAGAUGUAACGGGGCUAAACCAUGCACCGAAGCUGCGGCAGCGACGCUUAUGCGUUGUUGGGUAGGGGAGCGUUCUGUAAGCCUGUGAAGGUGUGCUGUGAGGCAUGCUGGAGGUAUCAGAAGUGCGAAUGCUGACAUAAGUAACGAUAAAGCGGGUGAAAAGCCCGCUCGCCGGAAGACCAAGGGUUCCUGUCCAACGUUAAUCGGGGCAGGGUGAGUCGACCCCUAAGGCGAGGCCGAAAGGCGUAGUCGAUGGGAAACAGGUUAAUAUUCCUGUACUUGGUGUUACUGCGAAGGGGGGACGGAGAAGGCUAUGUUGGCCGGGCGACGGUUGUCCCGGUUUAAGCGUGUAGGCUGGUUUUCCAGGCAAAUCCGGAAAAUCAAGGCUGAGGCGUGAUGACGAGGCACUACGGUGCUGAAGCAACAAAUGCCCUGCUUCCAGGAAAAGCCUCUAAGCAUCAGGUAACAUCAAAUCGUACCCCAAACCGACACAGGUGGUCAGGUAGAGAAUACCAAGGCGCUUGAGAGAACUCGGGUGAAGGAACUAGGCAAAAUGGUGCCGUAACUUCGGGAGAAGGCACGCUGAUAUGUAGGUGAAGUCCCUCGCGGAUGGAGCUGAAAUCAGUCGAAGAUACCAGCUGGCUGCAACUGUUUAUUAAAAACACAGCACUGUGCAAACACGAAAGUGGACGUAUACGGUGUGACGCCUGCCCGGUGCCGGAAGGUUAAUUGAUGGGGUCAGCGCAAGCGAAGCUCUUGAUCGAAGCCCCGGUAAACGGCGGCCGUAACUAUAACGGUCCUAAGGUAGCGAAAUUCCUUGUCGGGUAAGUUCCGACCUGCACGAAUGGCGUAAUGAUGGCCAGGCUGUCUCCACCCGAGACUCAGUGAAAUUGAACUCGCUGUGAAGAUGCAGUGUACCCGCGGCAAGACGGAAAGACCCCGUGAACCUUUACUAUAGCUUGACACUGAACAUUGAGCCUUGAUGUGUAGGAUAGGUGGGAGGCUUAGAAGUGUGGACGCCAGUCUGCAUGGAGCCGGCCUUGAAAUACCACCCUUUAAUGUUUGAUGUUCUAACGUUGACCCGUAAUCCGGGUUGCGGACAGUGUCUGGUGGGUAGUUUGACUGGGGCGGUCUCCUCCUAAAGAGUAACGGAGGAGCACGAAGGUUGGCUAAUCCUGGUCGGACAUCAGGAGGUUAGUGCAAUGGCAUAAGCCAGCUUGACUGCGAGCGUGACGGCGCGAGCAGGUGCGAAAGCAGGUCAUAGUGAUCCGGUGGUUCUGAAUGGAAGGGCCAUCGCUCAACGGAUAAAAGGUACUCCGGGGAUAACAGGCUGAUACCGCCCAAGAGUUCAUAUCGACGGCGGUGUUUGGCACCUCGAUGUCGGCUCAUCACAUCCUGGGGCUGAAGUAGGUCCCAAGGGUAUGGCUGUUCGCCAUUUAAAGUGGUACGCGAGCUGGGUUUAGAACGUCGUGAGACAGUUCGGUCCCUAUCUGCCGUGGGCGCUGGAGAACUGAGGGGGGCUGCUCCUAGUACGAGAGGACCGGAGUGGACGCAUCACUGGUGUUCGGGUUGUCAUGCCAAUGGCACUGCCCGGUAGCUAAAUGCGGAAGAGAUAAGUGCUGAAAGCAUCUAAGCACGAAACUUGCCCCGAGAUGAGUUCUCCCUGACCCUUUAAGGGUCCUGAAGGAACGUUGAAGACGACGACGUUGAUAGGCCGGGUGUGUAAGCGCAGCGAUGCGUUGAGCUAACCGGUACUAAUGAACCGUGAGGCUUAACCU